AAUGGCGAAUGAACCGGAACAGGCACAUUGUGAAAUACAGGGCUUUUGGUUCUGGCUUGCAGAUGCAAGAUGUACUAGCAGCAGGAUGUAGGUGCGAGCCUCUUGGAAAGGAGCAUUGACAUGGGUGAAAACCCCAUGUACCACUUGCAAUUUCCCCAGUGUAUGGUAUACAUUCUCAGAGUCACGCUCUUCGGGCCUGGAGCGCGAAGAUGGUGGUAGGUUUCAUCUAAAGCUUCGCAAUAGCCGGAUGCCGAUAGCGAACAAGUACCAUGUGGGGAAGGUGAAUAAGGACUUUGGGAAGAAAGUUAGAUGUGCUUGAAUUUGCUGGGAGGCAAGCGGGCGUACUUAGUGUGGCUAGGUGAGAGUGUUGUGUGUCNNNNNNNNNNNNNNNNNNNNNNNNNNNNNNNNNNNNNNUGCAAGUUCAUGGGUGCCGAAACCUAGGUGCUCAAUGAAAGUGAUCGCUUGGAGUUUUACACCAGCAGCCGACCAAGCAAUUGAGCGAGGUUUGGGCUUUGAGCAUGUUUGUUAGGCCCCGAAAGAUGGUGAACUAUGCCUGUGCAGGGCAAACCCAGAGGAAACUCUGAUGGAGGCUCGCAGCGAUACUGACGUGCAAAUCGUUCGUCGCACAUGGGUAUAGGGGCGAAAGACUAAUCGAGCCAUCUAGUAGCUGGUUCCCUCCGAAGUUUCCCUCAGGAUAGCUGGAGCUGAGCAGUUUCACCAAGUAAAGCGAAUGGUUGGAGGAUGCAGGGGCGCGCUGUCCUUAACCUACUCUCAAACUUUAAAUGGGUAAGCGCCUGUGGCUACUUGGGUGAGCUUCUGGGAUAUAUGGCGGCUCUAAGUGGGCCAUUUUUGGUAAGCAGAACUGGUGAUGAGGGAUGAACCUAACGUUUGGCUAAGGCGCUUAAUUGUUCGCUCAUGAGAUACCAUAAAGGGCGUUGGCUCAUUUUAACAGCAGGACAGUGGUCAUGGAAGUCGAAAUCUGCCAGAGUGUGUACACUACU
rnacentral:rRNA from 1 species